rnacentral:rRNA from 1 species
UACAGAGGUCUCAAGCGUUGUUCGGAUUCAUUGGGCGUAAAGGGCUUGUAGGUGGCCAACUAAGUCAGACGUGAAAUCCCUCGGCUUAACCGGGGAACUGCGUCUGAUACUGGAUGGCUUGAGAUUGGGAGAGGGAUGCGGAAUUCCAGGUGUAGCGGUGAAAUGCGUAGAUAUCUGGAGGAACACCGGUGGCGAAGGCGGCAUCCUGGACCAACACUGACACUGAAAAGCGAAAGCCAGGGGAGCAAACGGG